CCACGCUGAGCAGCACCCCAGAGGGGUAAUGUGAUUUGCCUAAAGUCACACAGGCAGGCAGUGGCAAAGACAAUCCAGCCUCAGUUCCAGGACUGGGCCAGGCCUCAAGGAGGAGCCAGAGCCUCCCUUGUGGAGGGCAACCUGCCGGCCGGGCACUGACACGCUGGUGUCCAGUGAGAGCAGAAGGGGCCCCUGCUCCCCAGGAGGGUGGUGAGAAUCAAGGAACCACCAAAGAAUCCAGGUAGGAUUCCAGCCCCAGACAAGAGUGCCACUGAGACGGAAAAGGCUCUGGGACAGAGCUGACUUGGGCCGGGGGGUGGAGGGGGGGCGGGGGCGGGUGGAUAGGUGGUUUUCCUGAGGACCGGUGGCCUGAACCAAGCUGAAGGAGGAGCGAGGGGUGGUGGGGAGGAGAGGCUGAAGGAGGGAGCAGCAGAGACAAAGGCCAUGUGUGAGGAGGGGCACAGUGCCUUCCAGAAAGCUUGGGGAGGGGGAGGCAGGGACUGGAGAGGUGGUAGGGGCCAGACCCCAGACCCCGCCCCUCCCUCCCUGCACGUGCAGGUGUGAUGAAGAUUUGGGUCUUUAUCCAGAGAGAACGAUGGAAAGCUCUGGAAAAGCUCUAAUCAGGUCAGAGGAGGGGAGGGCAGGGGCAGGGUUGACCAUGACCUUGUGGACUGUAUGGCUUCCUGGCUGCAGUGUGGCGAGCAGCUGGAAGGGGCCAGAGGGUGUGCACAGAGGCCAGGGAUGCGGCCACCAGGGAUUUGGCCACUGUAGCUGUCCCCGUGAGAGGUGAGGGGGCUCAGAGCAGGCUGAUGGCAGUGGAGAUGGAGAUCAGGCUGGAAGCAUGGACACACUCCAGACAUGUCCAGGUGAUAUCAGCAACAGGACUUGGGCUAUCCUGGCCACAUGGCUGGUGGAGAAGGAGGCACAGGGACAAAGCGCAGUUUCCUGACUUGUACAACUGGGCAGCCCGUGGAGCUGGGAGAAGCCCAGGGCGUCAUCUAAGGUAACUUCCAGCCAUGGCUCCAACUCCCCACGGUGACCAUGGGAGCUGGGAGCGAAGGAAGAGGGGGCUGGACAAUGGUCUGUGCCAGACGGCAGUGGGAAGAGAUCAGGCACUUGCUCCU
rnacentral:lncRNA from 1 species